rnacentral:rRNA from 1 species
UACGUGGGGUGCAAGCGUUGUUCGGAAUUACUGGGCGUAAAGCGCGUGUAGGCGGCCAAACGUGUCGGAUGUGAAAGCCCUCAGCUUAACUGAGGAAGUGCGUCCGAAACUAUUUGGCUAGAGUAUGGGAGAGGAGGAUGGAAUUCCCAGUGUAGAGGUGAAAUUCGUAGAUAUUGGGAGGAACACCGGUGGCGAAAGCGGUUCUCUAGACCAUAACUGACGCUGAGACGCGAAAGCGUGGGGAGCAAACAGG